UACGAAGGGGGCUAGCGUUGCUCGGAAUCACUGGGCGUAAAGCGCACGUAGGCGGCUUACUAAGUCAGGGGUGAAAUCCUGGAGCUCAACUCCAGAACUGCCUUUGAUACUGGUGAGCUUGAGUCCGGAAGAGGUGAGUGGAACUGCGAGUGUAGAGGUGAAAUUCGUAGAUAUUCGCAAGAACACCAGUGGCGAAGGCGGCUCACUGGCCCGGUACUGACGCUGAGGUGCGAAAGCGUGGGGAGCAAACAGGG
rnacentral:rRNA from 1 species